rnacentral:pre_miRNA from 1 species
AUAAUACUCCCUCCGUCCGAAAAAGGUUGUCCCAAGCUUGUCUCUCAAAUGGAUGUAUCUAGCACUAACUUGUUGCUAGAUACAUUCAUUUGAGGGACAAGUUUUUUUGGACGGAGGGAGUAGCAU